CGCGGGCUAUCAUGCAGUCGAGCGAACAGAUAGGAGCUUGCUCCUUUGACGUUAGCGGCGGACGGGUGAGUAACACGUGGGUAACCUACCUAUAAGACUGGGAUAACUUCGGGAAACCGGAGCUAAUACCGGAUAACAUUUGGAACCGCAUGGUUCUAAAGUGAAAGAUGGUUUUGCUAUCACUUAUAGAUGGACCCGCGCCGUAUUAGCUAGUUGGUAAGGUAACGGCUUACCAAGGCGACGAUACGUAGCCAACCUGAGAGGGUGAUCGGCCACACUGGAACUGAGACACGGUCCAGACUCCUACGGGAGGCAGCAGUAGGGAAUCUUCCGCAAUGGGCGAAAGCCUGACGGAGCAACGCCGCGUGAGUGAUGAAGGGUUUCGGCUCGUAAAACUCUGUUAUUAGGGAAGAACAAACGUGUAAGUAACUGUGCACGUCUUGACGGUACCUAAUCAGAAAGCCACGGCUAACUACGUGCCAGCAGCCGCGGUAAUACGUAGGUGGCAAGCGUUAUCCGGAAUUAUUGGGCGUAAAGCGCGCGUAGGCGGUUUCUUAAGUCUGAUGUGAAAGCCCACGGCUCAACCGUGGAGGGUCAUUGGAAACUGGGAAACUUGAGUGCAGAAGAGGAAAGUGGAAUUCCAUGUGUAGCGGUGAAAUGCGCAGAGAUAUGGAGGAACACCAGUGGCGAAGGCGACUUUCUGGUCUGUAACUGACGCUGAUGUGCGAAAGCGUGGGGAUCAAACAGGAUUAGAUACCCUGGUAGUCCACGCCGUAAACGAUGAGUGCUAAGUGUUAGGGGGUUUCCGCCCCUUAGUGCUGCAGCUAACGCAUUAAGCACUCCGCCUGGGGAGUACGACCGCAAGGUUGAACUCAAAGGAUUGACGGGACCCGCCAAGCGGUGGAGCUGUGGUUUAUUCGAAGCACGCGAAAACUUACCAAUC
rnacentral:rRNA from 1 species